rnacentral:lncRNA from 1 species
GGCGGGAGAGGGGGGAUUUUAGCUUCUGAUUGGUGUAGUUCUUUUGAUGGAUGGCCCCAGCCGUCCAAAGAGGGCUGGUCUGGGAGGGAAGAAGUCCAGCCAAUCAGCACACACUUCCCAUUAUCCCGGAGCCAAAUUCUCCGCCCCUUGAGGCCACGCCCCUUGCCUCUUAGCUUCUCUCAGUGGGGAGUUUCCCAAAGUGUUUUCAACCAAGAAGUGGUCGAGCUAAAUGGUGUGCGCAGUCUGUCCCGGGGCAGGUCUCUCCUGGCAGCCGGAUUGGCCAGAACAUCAUUCCAGAAUGGUGGAGAGGUGGUGAAUUUUCUAUGCGGUGGUGUAUUCUAUAGGUUUUUCCUUGUGAGCUUUGGAAAUCCAUUGAUUCUUGCCUUAAUUUCCUUUUUGUACGAUUUAUCAAAGAAUGGAGCUGGGACUGCAGAAGUGCCUUUGAGCAACAGAAGUUAUAACAAACAACAGGAGGACAAACAUUUCUCUCCAUGCACCGGUGCAAUGAAAUCAGGCGAGUGGCAAUCCCAGGACAGGAGCCAUGGAACUCAGAGCCACCGCUCAGCCACUCAGUCGCGUGGUCCCAGCAGCGGCAGACACGGGGAGGCGGGGGACGGCCUGGCCUCCCGGGGCGGGAGUGAGGGGCCAGGUGCCGCAGGAAGUGAGGGGCGCGGCACUGCCCCGUGCUGGCGGGAGAGUGUGGGGGAGGGGGCGGGGAGCCAAGCGCCCGGGUGCGCCCCGACCACAGGGAGCAGCUCAGUGGCAUCAGCUGUCCCAGCAGAGCUACCCUGGGGGCCGGAACCAGGCUGCGCUGGGGGGAAGGCGGCGGUAAGAGCCAGAGCAGAAGAGGAGCACAUGCUGACUGCCUUCCUCGUGCGCACGGAGCUCCUGGUGACCCAGCUGCACCUGGCAAGGGGAAGAGCGCUCCCGAGAUCCUAAGAUAUCUUCCUCCGAUGAAGAACGUCUGCUACUAGAUGUCUGAGUGCUUGCACAUCAGCUUGACUUACCAGUGGAUAUUUUCUUAACAAUUGCAUUAAAAAAAAAAAUCAAAUGGACCAGUGAAGUGUUUUCAAAGGAGUAGUCCUUGAAAAGGGACUCUUUUGGGAAUAGCAUGGCAGGUUAGGAGGAGAUCUCCUGCUCCCUAGCAUUUGGUCCAGUUGACAUAGACUGUUGAGUGCAGGGCUCAAAGCCAAGAUCAGCUAGUAAUAAAAAGAGUUUGUAUUUGUUAUAUGCUUCCCA